rnacentral:misc_RNA from 1 species
GGAAGUAAAAGCGUAACAAGGUUUCCGUAGGUGAACCUGCGGAAGGAUCAUUAUUGGAUUUUGAAACUUCAGGCUGCUGCUGGCUCUCCCCGGAGGGCAUGUGCACGCUUGUUGUCCAUUAUUUCUCCCACUGUGCACAAAUUGUAGACCUUUCAGUAGGCCUAUGUUGUUUUUCACAAUCUCUGAAUGUAAUAGAAUGGUUUUGAAUCUUGGGAAAUACAAUACAACUUUCAGCAACGGAUCUCUUGGCUCUC